CGGUCUCGAUCUGGUCCGGGCUGAUGAAGUGCACGUGGGUAUCGAUGCCGCCGGCGGUGAGGAUCUUGCCCUCGCCGGAGAUGACGUCGGUGGCCACCCCGAUCACGAUGUCUACGCCGUCCAUGGUGUGUGGGUUGCCGGCCUUGCCGAUGGCCACGAUGUGCGCGUCGCGCACGGCGAUGUCGGCCUUGUAGAUGCCGGUCCAGUCGAUGACCACGACGUUGGUGAUCACCAGGUCGGGGACGCCGACGUCGCGGACGAGCUGGCUGUUCUGGCCCAUCCCGUCGCGG
rfam:Micrococcus luteus NCTC 2665, complete genome.